rnacentral:rRNA from 1 species
AACGAACGCUGGCGGCAUGCCUAACACAUGCAAGUCGAACGAGACCUUCGGGUAUAGUGGCGCACGGGUGCGUAACGCGUGGGACCCUGCCCUUAGGUUCGGAAUAACUCCCCGUAAGGGGUGCUAAUACCGGAUAAUGUCUUCGGACCAAAGAUUUAUCGCCUUUGGAUGGGCCCGCGUAGGAUUAGCUCGUUGGUAGGGUAAAAGCCUACCAAGGCGACGAUCCAUAGCUGGUUUGGGAGGAUGAUCAGCAACACUAGGGCUGAGACACGGCCCAGACUCCUACGGGAGGCAGCAGUGGGGAAGAUAUGACAGUGUGCGAGUGCCGGUACCAGCAAGGCCGGGUAAGUGAUGAAGUCCUUGGGGUUGUAAAGCUCAUUUACCCGAGAGGAUAAGGACAGUACCGGGAGAAUAAGCUCCGGCUAACUCCGU